CGGCGAACUCCGGUCCAGCGUCCGGGGUAAUACGGGUGGUGCAAGCGUUAUCCGGAUUCACGGGGUUUAAAGGGUGUGUAGGCGGGCUAUUAAGUCCGAGGUGAAAUCUCCGAGCUUAACUCGGAAACUGCCUUGGAUACUAUUAGUCUUGAAUAUCGUUGAGGUUUGCGGAAUAUGUCAUGUAGCGGUGAAAUGCAUAGAUAUGACAUAGAACACCGAUUGCGAAGGCAGCGGGCUAAACGAUUAUUGACGCUGAGGCACGUAAGCGUGGGGAUCAAACAGGAUUAGAUACCCCGUAGUC
rnacentral:rRNA from 1 species